CCCGCCUUAAAGGCACAAGCUCCUUUUGUCUGGGCAUCCCCCUCCCCCUCCCCAGAAGCGGGGGCCGAGUCGCCCACUCCCCUUCCUAGCAGCCGGCACGGAGCAGCUGCCCAAGUUACCUGGGAGAUGGGAAAAUCGUGUGAAAGCUGGUUAACCCUUUGAGGAUUAGAAUAAUGGUGGAAGCAGAAAGGAGAAGGGGUUUCACUCCCAGGAUGUAGGUAGGUGAGUCUGACUUUAGAGGGGGUGCCAUUCUGGAGCUGGGAAGAAGGCAGCCUGCCUGGCUUCCUUUUGAGGCCCCUUCUCCAUUCCCUCAGUCAGACCUCUAGCUCCUCCCAGUUCAGCCCUUCCCCAAGCAGCCUAUUCCCCACCCAAGAUCCCAAGACCUAGAUAUCUGAAGAUGCUUCCUCCUCAAGACCAGCCCUCCCUGCAGUCCUGUCCUACAAGGCUCAAGUCUUGUCCACUCCAAAUCACCACUGGGAUUCCUAAGUCCAGGACAGAGCUUCAGGCAAGGAAAAGAGAAGAGUUGGGAAAGCCACUUUCCAACAUUUAUCAGCCACGUGUACCUGCAAACUAUAUACCUAGGGCUGGAGAGCAGUGGCUAUUCACAGGCAUGAUCAUAGUGCCCUGCAGCUUCCAACUCCUGGACUCAAGCAAUCCUCCUGCCUCAGCUUUCCAGAGUAGCUGGGACUAUAGAUGUGAGCCAUUGUGCCCAGUUACUAUAUCUUGGCUAUUGUGAAUAAAGCUGCAAUAAAUAUGGGAGUGCAGAUAUCUCUUC